CACCUGCUACCACUGCUGCUCCUCCUCCAUGGCCCCUCCUGAAGCUCUCCCCUGCAGUCCUCAGAGAGAGCAGCACAUUUCAGAUGACCUGUGAAGUACCUCAGUCUCAGUCUGCGUCUCUGUGUCUCUUCUACCUGGAUGGGAUAGAAGCUGCUCCAUACAGUCACCCAUCAUGUCAAAUGUCCCUCUCUGGUGUUCAGAUCCAGCAGUGGACACGUCAGAGUUCCCCUCUAGAGGCUAAAGUGGGGUGUUAUUACCUCACAGAAGGAGCAAGAACUCCAUCAGAUUAUGUUGCAUUGACUGUUCUGGACAGACUGCAGAAGCCAAACAUAAAGGUCCUUCAUGAUGGUGUCAUCUCCAUUGUCUGUGACAUACCCAAGCAUUUUGGUGAGGCCACUGACUGCCAACUUUACACUGGAGAUGAACCCCAGUCUUAUCUAAAAACAAAGAUAUCAAAAGAGUGCAUCUGGACACCUGUCCUGCCAGUUUACUGUGAACAAAGAUGAUUUAUUCAGACGUCUGCAGUCAGUGAGAAGCAGAGGGGUGAGCUGUGAUUAUACAGUGAACACAGAACCUCCAUUACUCUCUCCACGCAGUGACCCUUACAACUUUACAGCAGGUUUACGUCUUAUCACCAGAAAAGCAUAUCUGCCAUCAUCACAGCCAGAUGAACCUGAAAUGACCACAAGCUAUUCACAGCGGUCAGUGACAUUUGGGACUUUCUGUCUGGCACAUCCUGAAGCGUCCACAUCUAAACAGACGGAUGAGAAACAACUCUAGAACUGCUUUAACAGAGUGGGAAUCAUCUGCAAAAGUUAUAUCACAAGCGAGUAACUUCAUGUAAUGAGCUACUGUAUGGUGUCAACCUUAUUUAAAGAUGCUGUGUUGAGUUAUUUAGUUUAAAGCAUCCAAAAUUACCUAGAAAUAGCAUCACAAUAUGAUUGUGACGUCUGGUCAAAAGGGCCUCGGAAACAGAGGGCGUACAGUAAGUGACUCAGGAGGGCCUAAACAUUGUGUUCAGUGUUAAGUCCUUUGUUUUUUUUUACUAAUAAUGCUAAAAUUAACAAGAAUUAUUUAAUUAGAAAUAAAAUCAUCUUCUCCUUUUGAAAGUAGAAAUAGUUGCUCAAGAGCUUUUAUUUGAUGUAUACACCUCAAUUUUGCCCAAAAUGAGACUUAUGUCCCUCUGGUUCUCACACCUCCUCAUGCUCUGUGUUGUGUAGAUAUCCCCUGUAUGCAUUCAAACCUUUUGUAAUACCAUGUUGUACCACAUGUGGCCGCUGUAGUCAAUACAAUCCAAGUCAAAAUGGAAGAGUGUUGUGUGGGUGGGUUAAAGACAAUUUGUAGCCUACAAAAUUCCAUACAGCUCCCUUAGUCAGUCGGUUAUGUUGAUGGAGGUGAUAAGGCUGCCAUAUCUGUAUGAGAAUAAUAACAUAUAUUUACAGUUUGGUCAUUGUUGACUGUUGACAGACUGAUAAUGAUUAACCCCUGCAAUGUCCACAUGUUCCAGCUGAUUCUGCAGAGUGGUGUCUUAUGCACAACAGACAGACUGUUUUACAUAUUGUUUUAUCUACUUUAGAAAAUGCCAUUAGUAAAAAAAAGUUUAUAUUGUGUUGAUAUGUUCGUGGAAAUGGUUUCUUUUC